AGGGAAUCUUCGGCAAUGGGGGCAACCCUGACCGAGCAACGCCGCGUGAGUGAAGAAGGUUUUCGGAUCGUAAAGCUCUGUUGUAAGUCAAGAACGGGUGUGAGAGUGGAAAGUUCACACUGUGACGGUAGCUUACCAGAAAGGGACGGCUAACUACGUGCCAGCAGCCGCGGUAAUACGUAGGUCCCGAGCGUUGUCCGGAUUUAUUGGGCGUAAAGCGAGCGCAGGCGGUUUGAUAAGUCUGAAGUUAAAGGCUGUGGCUCAACCAUAGUUCGCUUUGGAAACUGUCAAACUUGAGUGCAGAAGGGGAGAGUGGAAUUCCAUGUGUAGCGGUGAAAUGCGUAGAUAUAUGGAGGAACACCGGUGGCGAAAGCGGCUCUCUGGUCUGUAACUGACGCUGAGGCUCGAAAGCGUGGGGAGCGAACAGGAUUAGAUACCCUGGUAGUCCACGCCGUAAACGAUGAGUGCUAGGUGUUGGAUCCUUUCCGGGAUUCAGUGCCGCAGCUAACGCAUUAAGCACUCCGCCUGGGGAGUACGACCGCAAGGUUGAAACUCUAAAGUG
rnacentral:rRNA from 1 species